rnacentral:rRNA from 1 species
GACGAACGCUGGCGGCGUGCUUAACACAUGCAAGUCGAACGGAAAGGCCCCCUUGUGGGGUACUCGAGUGGCGAACGGGUGAGUAACACGUGAGUAACCUACCCUUGACUUUGGGAUAACUUCAGGAAACUGGGGCUAAUACCGGAUAGGAGCUCCUGCUGCAUGGCGGGGGUUGGAAAGUUUCGGCGGUUGGGGAUGGACUCGCGGCUUAUCAGCUUGUUGGUGGGGUAGUGGCUCACCAAGGCUUUGACGGGUAGCCGGCCUGAGAGGGUGACCGGCCACAUUGGGACUGAGAUACGGCCCAGACUCCUACGGGAGGCAGCAGUGGGGAAUAUUGCACAAUGGGCGGAAGCCUGAUGCAGCAACGCCGCGUGCGGGAUGACGGCCUUCGGGUUGUAAACCGCUUUCGCCUGUGACGAAGCGUGAGUGACGGUAAUGGGUAAAGAAGCACCGGCUAACUACGUG